AGUCGAGCGGUAGAGAGAAGCUUGCUUCUCUUGAGAGCGGCGGACGGGYYAKUAAUGCCUAGGAAUCUGCCUGGUAGUGGGGGAUAACGUUCGGAAACGGACGCUAAUACCGCAUACGUCCUACGGGAGAAAGCAGGGGACCUUCGGGCCUUGCGCUAUCAGAUGAGCCUAGGUCGGAUUAGCUAGUUGGUGGGGUAAUGGCUCACCAAGGCGACGAUCCGUAACUGGUCUGAGAGGAUGAUCAGUCACACUGGAACUGAGACACGGUCCAGACUCCUACGGGAGGCAGCAGUGGGGAAUAUUGGACAAUGGGCGAAAGCCUGAUCCAGCCAUGCCGCGUGUGUGAAGAAGGUCUUCGGAUUGUAAAGCACUUUAAGUUGGGAGGAAGGGUUGUAGAUUAAUACUCUGCAAUUUUGACGUUACCGACAGAAUAAGCACCGGCUAACUCUGUGCCAGCAGCCGCGGUAAUACAGAGGGUGCAAGCGUUAAUCGGAAUUACUGGGCGUAAAGCGCGCGUAGGUGGUUUGUUAAGUUGGAUGUGAAAUCCCCGGGCUCAACCUGGGAACUGCAUUCAAAACUGACUGACUAGAGUAUGGUAGAG
rnacentral:rRNA from 1 species